rnacentral:rRNA from 1 species
ACAGAGGUGGCGAGCGUUACUCGGAUUUAUUGGGUGUAAAGGGCAUGUAGGCGUCUUAACAAGUUGGGGGUGAAAUCCUGCAGCUCAACUGCAGAACUGCUCUCAAAACUGUUGAGAUUGAGACUGGGAGAGGAAAGCGGAAUUCUCGGUUUAAGAGUGAAAAGUGUAGUAAUCAGGUGGAACACCAGUGGCCAACGCAGCUUUCUGGGCAAGUACUGACGCUGAAUUGCGAAAGCCAGGGGAGCAAACAU